GUGACCAUGAUGAAAUUAGCACAAUGGCUUUGGGAACUGGUGAUCCUGGGCUCUACCUGGUUGGCCCUGACCAUGGGAGCCCUGGGCCUGGAGCUGCCCUUGUCCUGCUGGGAGGUCCUGUGGUGACUGCCCGCCUACUUGCUGGUAUCCUCCAGGUGCUAUGCCCUGGGCACUGUGGGUUAUGGAGCGGCCACGUUGCCUGAUAGCAAGGACACCAUACAUGAGCUGCAUAAUCAGAACCAGGAGCCCAAAGCUGACUCAGCCCACAGACACCCU
rnacentral:lncRNA from 1 species